ACCUGUCCUUAUAGCUUCAGACUUAGUUUGAACUGGAAAAAAAAGUAAGGAAUAAACGUACGGUUUUAAUUUGGCUUUCUCUUCCAGCUGUUUCUGAGUGAGAUCUUGACUGAAAAUCUGUUUGAACUGGCUAUAUUAACCUACCUCUAUGAUUUGAGGCCAGAUUCUAGUGAGAACAAUGUCUGAGAUUUUAGAGAUGUCACAAAUAGCCCUAGGCCUCAGUUUGCUAUUAAAUUUGUGUUUAAUCUCGCCUCUACAGCAAAGCUGCCUUUGCAGAUGGUCCUGGUGGCCCUAUUGCUGGGCAUGAUUAGAAGCUGGGUCUGUUUUGCUCAGCAUGUUACUGCUUGACAAUUCACCACUGGGUUUUUGAAGCUGUGUUCCCGAUGCCAGGCAGAAAGGCAGCCAGAGCAAGCCUGUUGCAGCUUCAAAGUCAGAAAACAAAGAUAUUCCCACAGUACACUGAACAAAAUGAAAAAAAACAAACAAAAUAAACCAAAAAGAAGAGGAAAUCUAGAGUCUUCACUGUGUCAGCAGUAGCAAAGGAGACAAAGGGCCAGGUCUGGAGCUGGCAUAGCCACAGGGGAAGGAAGAACCACAGCUGCCUUUUAUUGCAGAAUGAUGCAAGCUGGAUGCAGGCAGCCCCUUUUAAACUUCCUUAAACCCAAUCUAUCUUCCUGCUACUCCACCCUAUGUGACAGGCUGUUUUAAGAGAUGCACAAGCUGAACUUAAAGCUGGAAUUGGUGGAUGCGGCUUUUCCUGCCCUGCAGAAUGAGCUGGUUUGACAGGAGCAUCAGCAAGGGAGGAUAAAUACAGAGACGCACUGUGUGAUGGUAAUCGCUCCUACAGCCCACCUCCUUGAUGCUUCUGAGCAGGAUCGCAACAGAAACAAGAAGAAAGGGUUUCUCUCUCAACUUGGUGCUAUAAUUCCCUCCUUCUUCUUUCUGUCCCCCUCCCCAAAAUCCCCAGGAAGGCAGUGAAAUCUGAUAGGCAGUGAAAUCAAAACUGUCCUGUUACCAGGUUACCCACCACUAGAUCUGUGAGGGACUUGGGAAUAUUCUCUAUGACUGAACAAGUGACUGCUCUGUCCUGGGGGUAUAAAUCUAGUGCAAGCUUGUCAGCAUAAGCCUUGUAUAUUUACGGGAAGCUUUCAGAGGAAUCGCACAGGAUCAGAGUUUCUGUUCAGCUCUGAGACACAGCAUCCCCAGCAUGCCUGGGAAGAGAGAGGCACGUCCCAGGCACAUGCUGCUGCUCCACUGCCAAGCCCUGAAGAGCAGUGAUGCAUUUGUGCUGAUUUGUCACUUCUGGAACCAAUGUAAGAGACCUGGAGUGGGAGCAUGAAGGAUGGAAGUGACACCAGGGGUGAGAGUGGUGGCAUCACCAUUAGACCAGUUACUUGAGCAUGAACUGGGAUGGAGCAGCACCUUGAGCUGAUGGAGACCUCCAAAGAGACAGUGACUCAAAACACAGACCUGAACAUCCCACACAGAGCCCUCCCUCUGCAGAUAUUUAAUGGUAAGUCGGGCUGGGGGUGCCAGCGAUGAUUGGCCAUUAUUGAUUAUUAAAUGCCUCACAGCUAAUGAGUGGUGCUUUCAGGCUGGUUGUGUCCACGGCAUAAAGGAAAAACACCAGGAUUUGCACCUCCUGGCACUGCGGCGCCAAGAGAGGUGGAGUUAACUUAAUAAAUAAAUAAAUACAUAAUCUCCAGGCAUUUACUUUAAGUCAGGACUGAAACACCAGAGGGGAAAGCUGCAGCACUGCUUCCCAUGUACUCUUGUCUGUGCUGAGCGGACCCAGGCCCCUGGGGUAUGGAUUUCAAGAGCAAUAAAUUCACUCUAAAAAUUUAAAAAGGAUGACGCAGAAAACUUCAAAAAACCAAACAAACCAGCUUCACACAAUAAAAGCCAUUUCUCUCCUGACGUCUCUCUCUAGUUAUGGCAUGACACAUCAAGGUCAGAUACCCUGUCCCACAGGAGCAGGGCUUUAUACAAGGUGAAAAUCGUCCCCUGAUGGUGUGUGAUGUCUGGUGUUUCGUAACGAUAAAGUUUACUUAUAUAAAACCCAGGAUUCUCAUAGUGGGACGUCAUUUAUAGCAAGUGUUCCCUCCCACAGUGCAGGAAAGCGCUGAGCUGAAGUGCCUUCAGGACACAGGAAGUGUCAAGGAGAUAUUUAACCUGCAAUUGCUGAUUCCAGGCCCUGUUGUCUAACUCCUGUAUCAUACCUCCUUCUGCACGCAAAGGAGAGCUCGCAUCUGUAGCUCAAUAAAUUAGCCAUUCAUACCAGGAGGUUUCUCUGUGGCAGAAGCUGAACUCAACAGCAAGAAUAAUAAUCCAUAUGUUUGUUAUUGUGAUUAGCUCCUCUGGAAGAUAAAACUUAGAAAGCUCUGCUGGAGCAUCACGAAUGCUGCAGUGCUUAAGGCCCCUGGUGCUUUCUGUCAGGAAGGGGGAUGUGAACAAGGAUCCCCUCCCUGCCUAGGGCAUUUCCACCCCACCGGUCUCCUCCAUGGCUUGUUCUGCUUCCCUGCCAUCCUGAGGUUUAAAAAAUCUCUCUUUUGCUUUUAAUGCAGUGGGUUUUCUCGUGCGUAGUCUCCUAAAUGAAUGCAUAGGCUGUUCCUGGCGUGCUUUAUGCCUUCAUGCAUUUUUAAUGAUUUACAUGGAAAAGAUUUUUUUCUCUUUCUCUCCCUCUCUUCCCCCCUUUUCUUCCUCCUUCACUCCCUUCUUCUUUCCUUAAAAAAAUAAAAGAAAACUUAAAAAAAAGGAAAAGUAAUGACUUAAUACAUAUCCAGUGGAAUUGAUGGUUUGUGGGGGGCGGUUUUAUAAUUCCAGGUUCAAGUUUUUUCUAUUUAAUUAUGCACUACAAUUCUCAUGAACUAUAAUGCAAUAACAAAAGCAUGCACCAGAAUUGACAUAAGUCUGUUCUGUAUUAGUACGGGUAUGGAUACCGUGCUUUAUGUGUGAAAUAAAAUAUUUGGAACUAAUGCUGAGUCUGUUUCUUUAGAAUUACAUAGAAUACUUCUUCCUUUAAAACACUGAAACUGGGGCUCUCUGGUCUCUAUUUGGCCUGCUU